UUCUCGUAUAUAAAAUAGCAUGUCUUUAGAAUAAUUCUCUUUUUAAUGUAUCGUUUGUCUGCAUUCGGCUUCAGCCAAGCGCUUGCACUCGGUGACACGGAAUGUUGUUUACAUCUAAAAACGUGGCGACAUCAGCUGAGAUUUGAAGUGGAUUUAAAUGCAAUAACCACACAAUCUUUAAAGAAAAUAUGGAUAAAAUAAGAGACAAUGCAUUGCUUCUCCAUUUUACAAGAAUAUGAGGACAUUAUUUCGGAAAAUAGCAGAAAACUGAGACGAUUUGCACCAGCUCUAGUUCCGUAGAUCAAUCACUGCACUGUAAUUCCAGGCCAGCUGUCCAGAGUUUCAGGCUUAAAGAGUGAAUAGAUAAAAAAUGCAUCAUUUCUCCACAGGGCCUAACUAUUCCCAGAUGUUGGACAAAUGGAUUCAUUCAGGCAGCAAGUUAAUCCAUCAUUUAAGGAAAAUGAUAUGCUCAAUAUAAGCUAUAAACCAUACAAAGUUUUGAUAUUAAAACUCACAGAAG